ACCCUCGGCCCGUCCUCGCCGCGGCCGGGAUGUAACAUCCCGCUGCUGGUGGUGGGAGGGCUCGGUGUUCCAUCCCUGUUUCCUUGGGAUCGGGGCGCUGCAGCCGCGGCAGUGCCCUUGUUCGGGAAUAUUUGGGCUUUCCACCAGCUCUGUGUCCUUGUGAGAGCUCUCAUGGGAGCUGAGAGGGAGGUCAGCUCUUACGCAGGUGGUGACUCUGCCAUCCCCUCUAGAUUAGCUCUGUGAUUUCCCUCCUGGUUCUCAGCUCCACAGCUUCCCUGUGUUUUUCCCUACCCAGCUGCUCAGUAACCCCUUGGGCUCCAAGGCACACCUUGAGAGCACCACAGCUGUUUAUCUUCAGGUGUUUCUACCCCCAGACCUGAUCUACUGUGGCCGGAAGCUGAGGGAUGACCAGACCCUGGAUUUUUAUGGAAUCCAGUCUGGCUCCACUGUCCAUGUCCUGCGCAAGUCCUGGCCUGAGCCUGACCAGAAACCAGAGCCCGUGGAUAAAGUGGCAGCAGUCCGGGAAUUCCGUGUGCUGCACACUGCCCUGCACAGCAGCCCUGCCUACAGAGAUGCUGUCUUCAAGAUGCUGGGAAACAAGGAAUCCCUGGAUCAGAUCAUUGUGGCUACUCCCGGCCUCAGCAGCGACCCCGUGGCUCUGGGAGUUCUGCAGGACAAGGAUCUGUUCUCUGUGUUUGCAGACCCCAACAUGCUGGACACGUAAGUUCCCCGAGCUGGGGCGGUGAUUCAGCAGUGCCUUUGUGUCACCUGGGUGGGACAGAGCUCUCUGCUCCUGCCUCCCAGGCUGGGUCACUCCUGUCAGGAAACACGGAUCCACCACUUGGGUUAAUCCAGAGGGUGUUUGGUGGGAGGCAGGGCCAUCAUGGCCUCCAGAUCAGGGUUCACACCUGGGUGAGCUGCUCACAGCAGAGAGCUGCUCCCAUGAAAACCUUGGAAAAGUCAGCAUGGGUCCAGAGGGAUCCUUGGAGAACCAAGGAAAGGUUGGGUCCAGAAGGUUCCUUGGUGAACAGAGACAAGGUCCAACAUGGAUCCAGAAGGAUCCUUGGGGAACCAAGGCAAGGUCCAAUAUGGGGUCCAGAAUGAUCCUUGGAGAACCAAGGCAAGGUCCAACAUGGAUCCAAUAGGAUCCAAGACUGGGUCCCCCAUGGGUCCAGAAGAAUCCUUGGUGAGCCAAGGCCUGGUCCAAUAUGGGGUCCAGAAUGAUCCUUGGAGAACCAAGGCAAGGUUGGGUCUAGAAGGGUACUUGGUGAACCAAGGCCAGGUCCAGCGUGGAUCCAGAAGGAACCAAGGACAGGUCUAGCAUGGAUCCAGAAGGAUCCUUGGUGAUCCAAGGCCAGGUCCAGCGUGGAUCCAGAAGGAUCCAAGGCCAGGUCCAGCGUGGAUCCAGAAGGAUCCAAGGCCAGGUCCAGCGUGGGUCCAGAAGGAUCCAAGGCCAGGUCCAACAUGGAUCCAGAAGGAUCCAAGGCCAGGUCCAGCAUGGAUCCAGAAGGAUCCUUGGU
rnacentral:lncRNA from 1 species